GUAGUCCACGCCCUAAACGAUGAACACUCGCUGUUGGCGAUACACUGUCAGCGGCUAAGCGAAAGCGUUAAGUGUUCCACCUGGGGAGUACGCCCGCAAGGGUGAAACUCAAAGGAAUUGACGGGGGCCCGCACAAGCGGAGGAGCAUGUGGUUUAAUUCGAUGAUACGCGAGGAACCUUACCCGGGCUUGAAAGUUAGUGAAGCUUCCAGAGAUGGGAGCGUCCGCAAGGACACGAAACUAGGUGCUGCAUGGCUGUCGUCAGCUCGUGCCGUGAGGUGUUGGGUUAAGUCCCGCAACGAGCGCAACCCCUAUGUCUAGUUGCCAGCACGUAACGGUGGGGACUCUAGACAGACUGCCUGUGCAAACAGAGAGGAAGGAGGGGACGACGUCAAGUCAUCAUGGCCCUUACGUCCGGGGCUACACACGUGCUACAAUGGAUGGUACAGAGGGCAGCUACACAGCAAUGUGGUGCAAAUCUCAAAAAGCCAUUCACAGUUCGGAUUGGGGUCUGCAACUCGACCCCAUGAAGUUGGAUUCGCUAGUAAUCGCAUAUCAGCAAUGAUGCGGUGAAUACGUUCCCGGGCCUUGUACACACCGCCCGUCAAGCCAUGGAAGUUGGGGGUACCUAAAGUACGUAACCGCAAGGAGCGUCCUAGGGUAAAACCGAUAACUGGGCU
rnacentral:rRNA from 1 species